rnacentral:hammerhead_ribozyme from 1 species
AUCCAGCUGACGAGUCCUAAAUAGUACGAAACGCGCGUCAAACUAAAU